AUAAAUAUUUUUCAAAAAAAAAAAUCUGUUCUUAUCAGUUUAAUAUCUGAUACGUCCCCUAUCUGGGGACCAUAUAUUAAAUUGAUUUUUGGAACAGGGAGAUGGAAUAGGGGCUGCUCCGUCCACUCCACGCACCGACCUGGUAUUGCAGUACCUCCAGGAACGGUCCACCCCGU
ensembl:snRNA U2 U2 spliceosomal RNA